rnacentral:rRNA from 1 species
UGAGCAAUCUGCCCUUCUCUUUGGAAUAAGCGUUGGAAACGACGUCUAAUGCCGAAUACGACCUCCUUUCGCAUGAUCGGAGGUGGAAAGCUCCGGCGGAGAAGGAUGAGCUCGCGGCCUAUCAGCUAGUUGGUGUGGGUAAUGGCCCACCAAGGCGACGACGGGUAGCCGGCCUGAGAGGGUGACCGGCCACACGUGGGACUGAGACACGGCCCAGACCUCCGUACGGGAGGNAGCG